CCCCCCCGCAAGCUCUCUGUGAGCUGUUCCCACAGCCUGACUUGAGAGAAGAGGUCUUUCAGCAACCAUGUGUUGACUGUUUACAGGAACAGUCGGGGGGAUGGGAAGCGCCAGAGAACACUAGAGCUGGUGCUUUCUGUUUGAAAGGCCACUUAGGACGAGCAGAAAGGGUCUGCUGAAAGCCUGGGGCUGCGGCAAAGUGGCAGGGGACACGGGGACUCCUGAUAAUGUCAGGUUGACCAUUUCCACAACCUCUGCUCCUCUCCCAGUGUUGUCUCCCUCCUGAGUCCUCAUCAGUCUUAGGGGAAGAGCAGAACUCCCUAACAGGGCUGUGCAGGCUGCAGCCCGGCUUGUGGAUACACUUUCUGGCCAGUGAUCCGGGAUAACUCCAUUCUCUGCAGGCUGUAAACUAAUUAACAGGCAGUGAGUGAAAAGUUCAGGACACCAAGAGCCAGACUGGGUCAGAGGUCUUCUCAACAAAGUCCCUUUAUUUCUACAGUGAUGUUAAGUAACCUUCCGAUGUUAGAUCUGGGUAAGGGAGCUCUCUCCCUGUUCCCUGUCUCCCUGUCAUCGCCUUUCCUCUCCCAGUAGAACUGGAAUGAGUCCUCCUUCUUUUUAUUGUAAGGAGUGGACACAAAGCAGUGUGUCCAGAGUCGUACUCUGAAUACUAAAGGGUCAGUGCUUCUCCCUUUUAAGGCAACUGACUCGUUUUGUGCCUAGAUGAUCGACAGCAGGGAGAGUCGGUGAUAACUUUUCACCUUCAUUUGGGACACUGAGAAGUGGACUUCCUCUAAUUUCGAACUGAGGUGUUAUAAAGUAGCAUGCAUGCAAAAAUUUUCAUAACAGAGUGCAGGAUGUUAAGAAAACACCUCCUAUUUUCAUUCUCUUCCUUGUUAAAAAUUAUUUCCGAGGCUCAGACUGGCCCAAGACUAGUUGUUCUGUGCUCCCCCAAACUCAGUUUAUUAAUUUCACAUGUUCUGCAUGAAACUGGCUUCACGACAAGUGGCCCUGACCUGCCUCAGUGGGGUUGGGCAAGGUGCCAAGGCGGAGCAGCCCAGGUCACCCGUGCCCCUUCACUCUCUACACCCCACCCACCACGCCUUCGCCAAAUCUGAGCAUUUGCUCUACUGUCUCCCACCACGGAGCCUUUGCAUACGCUGUCUACAUGCCUGUCAGUAACUAUGAAGGCUUUCUGCCACUUGCAAGCUAAUGAGACAGCCAGUGUCAUGGAUUGUGGCCGGAGACACGAGAACCUAGGAGAGAGACAGAGGACUUGCUCAUGACACAGCAAGCAGCAUGAGCGUCACGUUUGCGUCACUUCCUGUGAGGCUGCUUGGGCAUCUCAGUGUGACAGCCCUGCUGACCCGACUUAGGGUCCCGGCAUGAGCUCCUGCUUUACUGUUCCCGGGACACCUUUUGCAAUAACCACUUGCAGUUGAGCCCCUGAAAGUUGGUGACUUCUGCCCCAACCACCUCAUAAGCAAUAGGUGCCCACUCCCCAGCUGCUGCUCACUUGUGACUGGGCACAGGGCUCAGCCCUGCUCCUGGCUCGUUGCAGGCCCUGGGUGUAUUGAAACUGCUUUCAACCAGAAUGGCCCUGGGGUUUUCACUUCCCCAAAGUGGAAGCUUGGAUGCUGACAGCUACUUGCCGAAACCAGGGUGGGUGGCUCGGCCCUGCUGUCAGCAAGUCCUAAUCUGCACAGUCUUAAUGGCACCAGCUGGUCCUCCAAUACACUUCCCUUGGCCCCAAGUUCCCGGAGGGCGAUGUUGGAGCAUGCAACACAGAAGGGGAGCUGAGUUUAAGGAACACAGUCUCUUCUAAUGGGCAGGAAGCCCCCUCUCCUUGGACCUGGAGGGAGAUGUUAUCUUCAUUAUAUUGGACAGUAAACAAACCUGCGUUUUGUUCCAGAGGAAAACACUAUGUCCAUUUGCAAGGCUGUUGGCUACACAAACAUCAUUGGAAGGGUAGUCUGGGAGGACACAGCUCCUAAGAUAUGCAGAAAUGCGAGACCCACGGAGAGCUGCCCCUCAACAGGCCCACCUUUGGCCAGUUACUCCUCUUUCUUCUUCCCAUUGCAGCUCAGCAGGCACCUUCGGUGAGGGAACCUCCAGCGGGGGCUGUCAGAGUCCUUCUGACCUCUCUUCCUAGCACCUGACUCACUUAUCACUACAUUCGGCGUGUAGAGGUAGAGUUUUAGCCAGAAAAAAAGUUCUGAGCCAACAGAUUUCAAGCAUGAAAGUAGAAAGAUGUUUUAGAAAUCUUUGGAUUCUUCACAUUUAUGCUACCAGGAAAUCAGAUUCCAGAAACCGCACUGCCGGCCCCUGACCGAAAUCACUUAAUUGUCAGGCCCCAUCCCACUCCAGUGUGGGCGCAAUUGGCUGUGCUCUGUCAGGACCAGAAGCGUCGCGAAGAAUCAGAUCUGGCUUCUGCACAUCGCACGAGAUUCCCCAGAGGAGCCAGGGGCCCAGGGGCCCAGGGCUGGACAAGGGGCCCUCUCGGCCCCGCGUGGAACGUCUGGGAGAAGCUCUCAGUGGAGGACCAGAGCCCCUGUGUUCACAGAAGGGAAGAAAACGUUCACUUGUGAAAACUGCGAGUGAGCUGGCCUUCAACGACAGGCAGGCUAAAUACAAAGCGCAUGUGUUUAAAGGGGACAUUACAAACGACCAAGCUGACCAUGUUUGCAGUCGUCUCUUCGUGGGGGAAAACAGCAAGUGUGUCACAAUCGUCACACUCACACCCUGGGCUCAGAUUUCAGCACAGGGAAGCUCAGGGGCCAAAUGUUUCCGCUGGGGAGUCCAAGUUUGUGAGAAGUAUUCAAGGUUUAUUAUUUGGGGGACAGAAGCAAUUAGGACAAGCCUGUUGGUUUGUUCUUUUCCCGACUGUGGCUUAGUCAUGUUGGCAACAGGGCACAGUGUGAACUUCUUUUUCUGCUCAACACACAUUUGUUAAAAUAAGUGAAAUGAAGCUGAUGGGCCCUGAUAGGCCCCUGGACACCCCGGUCUCUGAGGAUAACAGCCAAGAGGUUGCACAAGGGACUCUUGGCCGCCCUGAAGUGGGUUUCUCGUUAAGCAGACAGCUUGGAAAGUGGCCCAGGCACCAUCUCUGGGACGGCCGUGUCAGGGGCCCCCUUGUCAGGCAGCAGUGGCUCUCUGUGGGUCUGUGUUCUCUGGGCAUUGGACUGGGAAGAGAAAGCUGGGUGCGGAGCCAUGCGACACAUUGGGGCCAGCAGCCAUCACCCACGGGAGCACACUGAGAUCAAACCCCCAGACCUCGGCCCGUCUUGUUAAAGAGGUGGUUACCACUGCAGCUAAUACAGGCUAGUGCUCAUCCAAGCCCUCGGCUGGCACAGGAAGAAGAAUUCCUACAUCGGGGCGGCGGGGGAUCCUGUGAUAUCUGCUCUGCCCCACAGUCACCGAGAUGCACCUCUCCUUGAGGGGCCGUCACCAGCGUGGCCUUGAGGACACUGGUUGUCCCUUAACUCCCUGGCCCAGCAUGUGGCACACGCUCCCUCUGCAGAGCUGAGUCUGAGCCCAGACAUUCAAAUAAGACUUUAGGGGAGGCUCCAGGGCACACUGACAGAUGGGUGAGUGGCCCUCCCCUCUGAGCUGUGCUGUUCCCCAACCCCACAGGGUGGGCGCCAUCUGACCACUCCUGUUCAGAAACGUACCCUUGCUUCCAAGAGAUGGGAGGCCUUCUUCUGAGCUCUGGUGCCCAAUAAAGAUUUUCCCAUGACCUGGUGACUGGAAAUGGGCACCUCUGUCUUCAGGGAGACCAAGCUCGGCGUGAGUUGGCUCACCAUUCAGACCACAAGAGAACCGAGAGAACACACCAGCCACCCAACACCAGAUCUGUUAUUUGCAGACUUUUUGGUUAAAGCAUGAAAUGGUUCACUAGACCCCAGGAGUCUUUUGGCUGAACAACUUCACACCAUUGAUCCAUCCUGAGGGGAAGAGGAGACAUAUUACGGGUGCCAAAUGCUCGCUGCGUACUAUGCCAGUCUCCCCCUGCCAGAUCCUCAUAUUGGUCUUAUUCUUAUUUUACAGAGGAGCAGAGGCUUGGAGAGUGUAGGCGAUUUGCCCCAAGCCAUGUGGAUUUUGUGUGGUAGAGCAAGGCUUGAAGCAGAUGGUGGCCUUUUCAGUGCUGAGUACAGCUGGGUUCAGGAAGGCCAUUCCUAUGGGGGAGGCAGGGGAAGGGUGGCCACAUUAUAAGGAAACUCGACCCAUCGUCAGACAAUAGGGCAGGAAGGUUGACACUGGGACCGUGGCAGACAACUGGUAAGAUCUCGCCAAGAAAGGAAGCUGGGAGCUGUCUGCAGGGCACGGCCACGGCCGGAGGAAGCUGGUCUGUCUCUAGGUUCUGCCACUUCUCCCUGUUGGUGACUUUUUAUUCUACCCACUCUUACCCUGAAGUGACCAGCUCUUAAACCCUGAAACUAAAAGGAGCAGCCAAAGAAUUGUCCAGUUCUACAGCUAAUUUUGGAAGAGAAGAGACCCUGCAAUGUGGUGUUUGUGUGGGCAGUUUUGAGAAAGUGUAAAAAUAAGGGGAGGGUGUAGACACAGGAAGGAAAGGGCUCACAGGGGUUGGCUGUCCCCACCCCAUUCUUUCAGGAGAUGGUUCCUAGCCCCUAUUAGGUGCCAAGUCCUGGGCUGAGCCGGGCGGGGUGAGGAGUGGGAUUUAGUUUGGAUGGUAGGGAGGGCUGUCUGAGCAGGUGGCUUUAAACUGAAUCUAAGGGCUAGAGGGGUUAGCCAUGUCAAGAAGGGGGGAAUGACCUAGGUAGAGGACAGCAUAUGAGAAAUAGCUUUGGGUAGUAAAAAAAAAAAGAAAGUGAGAGAAGGCCCAUGUGGCUGGAGUAGAUUGAGUGGAGAGCCAGGAGGGCCUGGGGCACUUGUAAACCGUGCAGCGUUUUGCUCUAAGUGCAAUCAGACGCCACGGAACGUUUCCGCAGGGCCCACAGCAGGAUCUGUGCUGUUUAAAGCCUCUCGCUGCUCUGUGGAGUAGGUUUAGAGUAGGACAGGCGAGGAAGAGAUGAGAACGUACCUAGCGGUUAAAGGGUCCAGGCAGGAGUCAUGAUGGCCUGGGCCAGGCUGUGGGGCCAGAGAUGGAGAGGCCAGCAGAGGCCAGAGGGAAGGAUA